rnacentral:rRNA from 1 species
CUGGCGGCGUGCUUAACACAUGACAAGGUCGAACGAGACGAUUGAAAGCUUGCUUUUGAAAGUCGAGUGGCAAACGGGUGAGUAACGCGUAGGCAACCUGCCUCUAGGAUGGGGACAACAGUCCGAAAGGACUGCUAAUACCGAAUGAUGUAAGUGAUCCGCAUGGGUUACUUAUGAAAGAUGGCCUCUACUUGUAAGCUAUCGCUUUGCGAUGGGUCUGCGUCUGAUUAGCUAGUUGGUGGGGCAACGGCCUACCAAGGCGACGAUCAGUAGCCGGUCUGAGAGGAUGAACGGCCACAUUGGAACUGAGACACGGUCCAGACUCCUACGGGAGGCAGCAGUGGGGAAUCUUCCGCAAUGGGCGAAAGCCUGACGGAGCAACGCCGCGUGAGUGAAGAAGGUCUUCGGAUCGUAAAGCUCUGUUGUCGGGGACGAAUGUUGAGGCCUAGAACAUAGGUUUCAAAUGACGGUACCUGACGAGGAAGCCACGGCUAACUACGUG